rnacentral:rRNA from 1 species
UACGUAGGGUGCAAGCGUUGUCCGGAAUUAUUGGGCGUAAAGGGCUCGUAGGCGGCCUUCUAAGUCAGACGUGAAAUCCCCCGGCUUAACCUGGGAACUGCGUCUGAUACUGGGAGGCUAGAGUAUGGGAGAGGGAUGUAGAAUUCCAGGUGUAGCGGUGAAAUGCGCAGAUAUUCGGAAGAACACCAGUGGCGAAGGCGACUUACUGGACACAUAUUGACGCUGAGGUGCGAAAGCGUGGGGAGCAAACAGG